rnacentral:lncRNA from 10 species
GUGAACUAAAUUAUGACAUAGUGUUGGAGAGUUGAUGUACCCCUAAUGUAGGCAGGGAUGGUGUAUUUCUGGCCUUUCCAAAUGAAAGCAAACUACUUCUGAUGGGUUUUAUGGACAGGGAUGGAGAAAAAGGCAUUUGCCGGAUCAAUAGCUGUAUACCAACAGCUCAAGCAGUGAAACCACAUCUGGCACAAUGUCUGCAAUUAGAGACACCACCAGGUUAAACUUAAUCUAGUGUCAUCCUCCAAGAUCCAUCUGUCUUCCGCACAGGACAAACAGGAUGGUUCAAUGGGGAUGUGGUGGGAAUCCCCAAUGUAAGAGUUAAAGAGGAAAGAAACACAAAAUGUGGCUUAACAGUUAAAGACAGAUUUAUUGUAGAGAAAAUAAACCUGAGAGGGGCUUC